rnacentral:lncRNA from 13 species
UUAUCAUGUUGCCCAGGCUGGUCUCAAACUCCUAGGCUCAACUGAUCCACCUGCCUUGGCCUCCCAAAGUCCUAGGAUUACAGGCAUGAGCCAUCACACUCAGCCUUGGAGUGAGGUUUUAAAGAAGUAUUUGCCAGGAACAAAUACAGGUAAAACUGGAGCAACUUUUAUUCUAAGGCUAAUUAUUUCCCACCACUAAGGUAAGAAUCUUCUGAGCAUUCUACCAAAUGAGCUAUAAGCUCAAACCUUAGUUUGUGAUAAUUAAGGCAGCUUCUCUCUUUUGGUUAAAAACCUUCAUUGAAAAAAAAUCUGAUAUUUGUAUUUCUUUUCUGUUUCCUAAUGCCUAGCUUGAUGCUUUUGAAUAGAAUCUUUAGUCAAGAUGCUAUUCGUUGCAAAUGAUAGAAAGUUCAAUUCACAAUGACUUAAACAAAUUGGCUCACACAUCACAGGGGUAACAGGCGUCAGAUUCAGUGUGAUCCAGCAUCUCAGGUAUUGGGUUACAAGAAUGUGACUCUUUCUGCCUCUUUACCCGGUGUUUCUUGAUUUGGAAUUCAC